rnacentral:misc_RNA from 1 species
GUGAAUCAUCGAAUUUUUGAACGCAAAUUGCGCCUUUUUGGGAAGGCAUGUCUGUUUGAGGGCAACCUUCAACAAAUAAUGUGCAUUUCGUGUGCACUCGUUGAUGGGCUUUCCAAACUUAUGUAUUAUUAUUUUUGGUGGCGCAUAAUAAACAGCGCGAUGCUUUUUUUCAGUUCGAGUGUAGUAAAAUUUUUUCUUGCUUGAGUUGUGAACAGCGUCAUCGCUCAAAU